rnacentral:lncRNA from 8 species
UAACUUGUCUGUCUGUUCAGGGGGUAAUUUCUCAAAAAAUACGAAAUGAUCGACUUUUGAGACCUUUGUUACGGACAGACUAGCUCUGGUCCACGCGCUUGCGGCAGUAUGUGAGUACCAGAGUUAAUCUGUUGGCAUACACCCUACACUCUUUAAAAAAAACACGUUUACACCCUGCACUCUAGCAACAUCAUUACUUGGUGAUUUGCUAAAGUAUAUUAAUUGUAAAAAUAAAAUAAAAAAUAUAUAUAAUAAAUAAAACUGAGCAGAGGCAACUAUUUAUUGUCGUCGCGCGAUGAACCAGAACAAAGCUAGUAAUUCAUGAUAAUCUAUUCCUAAACGCAGCAACCUAGCUAGCUAGAUACCUAACAUUAGUUUGUUAAACUAUAGUCAUGCAUUGGUUUAGCGUUAACGUUAGUUUGCGACUGCACGAGUCAUUAUCUCAUGCACUGUAGCACUAGCGCCAUAUUUGCGAUAGUUAAAACCAACAAUGUAUUUUCUGCCUUUUGAAAGUAAGACGACGACUGAGAACAGACGACGUCUUGUUAAAUGUGUUUGAAAAUGUACAAAGGAUGUGUCAAACUAACAAAAACGUAUUUUAUACCAACCCAAACUCCAGGUGUAUCGCUAUGGGCGCCGCCAUAUUGUUGUCGUCGGAAGCAGGAAGUUUACACACCAGCGCUGCAGGAGGGGGACUCCUGGGAGAUGGCAGAAUGACCUGGCGACGUGAAGAGAAAGCCGAUGGCUGAGGAGACAUACAAGGACCCCCUGAAGGUGAAAUGAAAGACUAUGGAAGACCACUGUCAGCACAUCAUGGAGUUGUGUGUAAGACUAGCAGCAUGAAUCCGAUAAUGGAGUUGCAAGUAUGGGUUUAGUAACAUGCUCCAGCUGUCAGUAAGUGUAUGUUGUCUUUCUAUGGCUUCCUAUCCUCCAAGCAUCCACUGACCUACCUUUUCCCAUACCACUCAUCCCCUGCUUCAUCUCUCCAUUUCACCUAACUUCCUCCGUUUCCCUCUUUCCUUCUCAAUAUUCUCUUUCAUCCAUCUAUCCCUUUUUUCAAUACAUCCCUGAUCAUAAUUAUGUUACUAUGUGAAAGAUCCAAGAUCUAAAGUUAUAGGGAAAAUGACUUAAUGCAGCUCGUGAUUGAACUGCUU